rnacentral:sRNA from 1 species
UGUAAUCACAAUUAAAAGUGGCAUAUAUGGAUUGGAGUUUCUAGAGCUCAAGAAAUAUACGAAACACUAGAUUUUAACCCGCGGUACACCGCGGAACUAUUUAUUUUAUUAAA